rnacentral:rRNA from 1 species
UACGUAGGGUGCAAGCGUUGUCCGGAAUUAUUGGGCGUAAAGAGCUCGUAGGCGGUUUGUUGCGUCGGCUGUGAAAUCCCGAGGCUCAACCUCGGGUCUGCAGUCGAUACGAGCAAACUAGAGUGUUGCAGGGGAGACUGGAAUUCCUGGUGUAGCGGUGAAAUGCGCAGAUAUCAGGAGGAACACCGGUGGCGAAGGCGGGUCUCUGGGCCGUAACUGACGCUGAGGAUCGAAAGCGUGGGGAGCGAACAGG